rnacentral:rRNA from 1 species
GACGAACGCUGGCGGCGUGCUUAACACAUGCAAGUCGAACGGUGAAGCUCCAGCUUGCUGGAGUGGAUCAGUGGCGAACGGGUGAGUAACACGUGAGCAACCUGCCCCUGACUCUGGAAUAAGCGCUGGAAACGGCGUCUAAUACUGGAUACGAGAAGGGUCCGCAUGGGCACUUUCUGGAAAGUUUUUCGGUUGGGGAUGGGCUCGCGGCCUAUCAGCUUGUUGGUGAGGUAAUGGCUCACCAAGGCGACGACGGGUAGCCGGCCUGAGAGGGCGACCGGCCACACUGGGACUGAGACACGGCCCAGACUCCUACGGGAGGCAGCAGUGGGGAAUAUUGCACAAUGGGCGAAAGCCUGAUGCAGCGACGCCGCGUGAGGGAUGACGGCCUUCGGGUUGUAAACCUCUUUCAGCAGGGAAGAAGCGAAGUGACGGUACCUGCAGAAGAAGCACCGGCUAACUACGUG